UCUUCAGAGAAGCAUACGGAGCCUUUCUAAGGGCGGCUGGGUCUUACUUGUGAUGUGCCAGUAAUGGAUGGAGUUGCUGUGGUCAGCAGUGCCUACACUGCAGGAUGACUCUGUUUGGGACUCUGAUUGGGACUCCGUUUGGGACUGAGAUGGAUGAGCAGGACGAUGCUGAUUUCACCAAUGAAAGAGCUAAGAAGAGCACAAAAGCAGACAUUUCAAAGCAUUCCAGACCUAAAAGGAAAAGAAGGUCCUGGAAUGUUCAGAAGACCCGCCCGAAGCAAUCCCUCAGACCCUGAGGGAGGAAGAGUCCAUAUGAACCACACUAAAAGUUAGAAUUUAUUGUAUAUCAGUAAGUUUAAUAAAAUUUAUUUUGAAAAGUA